rnacentral:rRNA from 1 species
GACGGAGGGUGCGAGCGUUGUCCGGAUUUACUGGGCGUAAAGGGCGCGUAGGCGGCCUGAACAGUCGUUUGUGAAAGGCCUGGGCUCAGCCCGGGUUAUGCGGACGGGACGUUUGGGCUGGAGGGUGGUCGAGGGAGCCAGAAUGCCGGGUGUAGUGGUGAAAUGCGUAGAGAUCCGGCGGAAUACCGGUGGCGAAGGCGGACUUCUAGGCCAUUACUGACGCUGAGGCGCGAGAGCGUGGGGAGCGAACCGG